UCGGAGAGUUUGAUCCUGGCUCAGGAUGAACGCUGGCGGCGUGCCUAAUACAUGCAAGUCGAGCGAACUGAUUAGAAGCUUGCUUCUAUGACGUUAGCGGCGGACGGGUGAGUAACACGUGGGCAACCUGCCUGUAAGACUGGGAUAACUUCGGGAAACCGAAGCUAAUACCGGAUAGGAUCUUCUCCUUCAUGGGAGAUGAUUGAAAGAUGGUUUCGGCUAUCACUUACAGAUGGGCCCGCGGUGCAUUAGCUAGUUGGUGAGGUAACGGCUCACCAAGGCAACGAUGCAUAGCCGACCUGAGAGGGUGAUCGGCCACACUGGGACUGAGACACGGCCCAGACUCCUACGGGAGGCAGCAGUAGGGAAUCUUCCGCAAUGGACGAAAGUCUGACGGAGCAACGCCGCGUGAGUGAUGAAGGCUUUCGGGUCGUAAAACUCUGUUGUUAGGGAAGAACAAGUACAAGAGUAACUGCUUGUACCUUGACGGUACCUAACCAGAAAGCCACGGCUAACUACGUGCCAGCAGCCGCGGUAAUACGUAG
rnacentral:rRNA from 2 species